rnacentral:tRNA from 1 species
GGGGAUGUGACUGAGUGGUAGGGGAUGGGCCUGGCAUGCACAAGGCCUUGAGUUCAAUCCUCAGCACCACCA